rnacentral:rRNA from 1 species
UACGAAGGGUGCUAGCGUUGUUCGGAAUCACUGGGCGUAAAGGGCGCGUAGGCGGCCGAUCAAGUCGGGGGUGAAAGCCUGUGGCUCAACCACAGAAUUGCCUUCGAUACUGUUUGGCUUGAGACCGGAAGAGGUAAGUGGAACUGCGAGUGUAGAGGUGAAAUUCGUAGAUAUUCGCAAGAACACCAGUGGCGAAGGCGGCUUACUGGUCCGGUUCUGACGCUGAGGCGCGAAAGCGUGGGGAGCAAACAGG